GUCACUGUGACCUUGAAUGUAAAAAUGUUAAAGUUCUUAUUUCAUGGUAUAACAUUGGUAUGCUUGGACCUAGAGUCUUCAAACUUGACAUGAAGGUUGGCCAGGAUUAACAGAUGACCACUGGUCAUUUCAAGGUCAUUCAUUUGAAGGUGAAGGUCACUGUGACCUUCAAUAUAAAAAUGUUAAAGUUGUUAUAACUUUGGUAUGCUUGGACCUAGAGUCUUGAAACUUGACAUGAAGGUUGGCCAGAACUAGUAAGUAACCACUGGAUAUUUCAAGGUCAUUCAUUUGAAGGUCAAGGUCACUGUGACCUUGAAUGUAAAAAUGUUAAAGUUGUUAUAACUUUGGUAUGCUUGGACCUAGAGUCUUGAAACUUGACAUGAAGGUUGGCCAGAACUAGUAAGUAACCACUGGACAUUUCAAGGUCAUUCAUUUGAAGGUCAAGGUCACUGUGACCUUCAAUAUAAAAAUGUUAAAGUUGUUAUAACUUUGGUAUGCUUGGACCUAGAGUCUUGAAACUUGACAUGAAGGUUGGCCAUAACUAGUUAGUAACCACUGGUCAUUUCAAGGUCAUUCAUUUGAAGGUGAAGGUCACUGUGACCUUCAAUAUAAAAAUGUUAAAGUUGUUAUAACUUUGGUAUGCUUGGACCUAGAGUCUUGAAACUUGACAUGAAGGUUGGCCAGAACUAGUAAGUAACCACUGGACAUUUCAAGGUCAUUCAUUUGAAGGUCAAGGUCACUGUGACCUUGAAUGUAAAAAUGUUAAAGUUGUUAUAACUUUGGUAUGCUUGGACCUAGAGUCUUGAAACUUGACAUGAAGGUUGGCCAGAACUAGUAAGUAACCACUGGACAUUUCAAGGUCAUUCAUUUGAAGGUCAAGGUCACUGUGACCUUGAAUGUUAAAAUGUUAAAGUUCUUAUUUCAUGGUAUAACUUUGGUAUGCUUGGACCUAGAGUCUUCAAACUUGAAAUAAAGAUUGGCCAGUACUAGAAGAUGACCACUGGUCAUUUCAAUGUCAUUCAUUUGAAGGUCAAGGUCACUGUGACCUUAAAUGUUAAAAUGUUAAAAUUGUUAUAACUUUGGUAUGCUUGGACAUAGAGUCUU